GAAGCUUGAGAAACAAAUAGAAAACUCCAUUUUACAAAUAAUUAAAAAGAGAGAAGAUGAAGUGAUGGCUGGAGAUGUAGAGAACUAUGGAGAUGAUUUUCUGGGAAUUCUACUAAAGGCUUAUCAUGAUGAUGAUCAAUCCAAGAGGAUUUCAUUAAAAGAUGUGAUUGAUGAAUGCAAGACACUAUAUGUCGCUGGACAAGAAACCACUAAUGUAUUGCUCUCAUGGGCCGUCCUACUUCUAGCAAUCCAUUCAGAAUGGCAAGAGGAAGCAAGGAAUGAGGUUUUCAAGAUUUUGGGUCACCAAACUCCAAAUGCAGAUGGAAUUGCAAAGCUGAAGAUAAUGGGAAUGAUCAUCAAUGAAACACUAAGAUUAUAUCCUCCUGUGACUGGAUUUGUAAGAAAAGUAGACAGAAAAGUUCGGUUGGGGAAGCUCACUCUGCCUGCUGAUGUAAACCUGCAAAUCUCAACUCUUUUAGUCCACCAUGAUCCUCUUACUUGGGGUGAAGAUGUUCAUCUUUUUAAACCAGAAAGAUUCUCAGAAGGACUUGCUAAAGCUACAAACAACAAUAAGGCUGCAUAUUUACCCUUUGGCCUGGGUCCUCGAACUUGUAUAGGCUUCAACUUUGCAAUUACUGAAGCUAAGAUAGCUCUGUCAAUGAUUCUACAGCGCUACGCCAUCACUCAUUCCCCCACCUAUGUUCACUCACCAGUUCAGAAUCUCACAAUUGGCCCACGACAUGGAAUUCAGGUGGUGCUUAAUCCAUUGCAAAAUUAAGGUUUAGAGAGUUUCCAGUAAAAUAAGCAUUUGCAAAGUGUUCCAAUAGGUUUAACCAUGAUUGGUAAUGUAUAAAAGAAGUUGCUCUUACAUUGAUGGUCAACUUCCAGUCAUCUGGGGUAUAUAUGCAAACAGAUGAAUGCCUCUUUUACUUCAUGUUCUGCACCGGCGUUAUGAGAAAUUAAGA
rnacentral:misc_RNA from 1 species